rnacentral:rRNA from 1 species
AUUGAACGCUGGCGGCAGGCCUAACACAUGCAAGUCGAGCGGAUGAAGGGAGCUUGCUCCUGGAUUCAGCGGCGGACGGGUGAGUAAUGCCUAGGAAUCUGCCUGGUAGUGGGGGAUAACGUCCGGAAACGGGCGCUAAUACCGCAUACGACCUGAGGGAGAAAGUGGGGGAUCUUCGGACCUCACGCUAUCAGAUGAGCCUAGGUCGGAUUAGCUAGUUGGUGGGGUAAAGGCCUACCAAGGCGACGAUCCGUAACUGGUCUGAGAGGAUGAUCAGUCACACUGGAACUGAGACACGGUCCAGACUCCUACGGGAGGCAGCAGUGGGGAAUAUUGGACAAUGGGCGAAAGCCUGAUCCAGCCAGGCCGCGUGUGUGAAGAAGGUCUUCGGAUUGUAAAGCACUUUAAGUUGGGAGGAAGGGCAGUAAGUUAAUACCUUGCUGUUUUGACGUUACCAACAGAAUAAGCACCGGCUAACUUCGUG